UACGUAGGGUGCGAGCGUUGUCCGGAAUUAUUGGGCGUAAAGAGCUCGUAGGCGGUUUGUUGCGUCUAUCGUGAAAACCUGCGGCUUAACUGUGGGCUUGCGGGGGAUACGGGCAGACUUGAGUUCGGUAGGGGAGACUGGAAUUCCUGGUGUAGCGGUGAAAUGCGCAGAUAUCGGGAGGAACACCUGUGGCGAAGGCGGCCGCCUGGUGGGAUACUGACGCUGAGACGCGAAAGCGUGGGGAGCAAACAGG
rnacentral:rRNA from 1 species